AUUGAACGCUGGCGGCAGGCCUAACACAUGCAAGUCGAGCGGAGCGGCGGACGGGCGAGUAAUGCAUAGGAAUCUGACUGGUAGUGGGGGAUAAAGUCCGGAAACGGGCGCUAAUACCGCAUACUAGCAGAUGAGCCUAGGUCGGAUUAGCUAGUUGGUGGGGUAAAGGCCUACAAAGGCGACGAUCCGUAACUGGUAUGAGAGGAUGAGCAGUCAGUCUGGAACUGAGACACGGUCCAGACUCCUACGGGAGGCAGCAGUGGGGAAUCUUGGGCAAUGGGCGAAAGCCUGAUCGAGCCAUGCCGCGUGUGUGAAGAAGGUCUUCGGAUUGUAAAGCUCUGUAAUUUGGGAGGCGUUACCUACAGAAUAAGCACCGGCUAACUUCGUGCCAGCAGCCGCGGUAAUAC
rnacentral:rRNA from 1 species